CGGCGGACGGGUGAAUAACACGUGGAUAACCUACCUAUAAGACUGGGAUAACUUCGGGAAACCGGAGCUAAUACCGGAUAAUAUAUUGAACCGCAUGGUUCAAUAGUGAAAGACGGUUUUGCUGUCACUUAUAGAUGGAUCCGCGCCGCAUUAGCUAGUUGGUAAGGUAACGGCUUACCAAGGCACGAUGCGUAGCCGACCUGAGAGGGUGAUCGGCCACACUGGAACUGAGACACGGUCCAG
rnacentral:rRNA from 1 species